rnacentral:rRNA from 1 species
AGAGUUUGAUCCUGGCUCAGAUUGAACGCUGGCGGAAUGCUUUACACAUGCAAGUCGAACGGCAGCACGGGGGCAACCCUGGUGGCGAGUGGCGAACGGGUGAGUAAUACAUCGGAACGUGCCCAGUCGUGGGGGAUAACUACGCGAAAGCGUAGCUAAUACCGCAUACGAACUCUGGUUGAAAGCGGGGGAUCGCAAGACCUCGCGCGAUUGGAGCGGCCGAUGGCAGAUUAGGUAGUUGGUGGGGUAAAGGCUCACCAAGCCGACGAUCUGUAGCUGGUCUGAGAGGACGACCAGCCACACUGGGACUGAGACACGGCCCAGACUCCUACGGGAGGCAGCAGUGGGGAAUUUUGGACAAUGGGCGCAAGCCUGAUCCAGCCAUUCCGCGUGCAGGAUGAAGGCCCUCGGGUUGUAAACUGCUUUUGUACGGAACGAAACGCGCCGAGUUAAUACCUUGGCGUAAUGACGGUACCGUAAGAAUAAGCACCGGCUAACUACGUGCCAGCAGCCGCGGUAAUACGUAGGGUGCGAGCGUUAAUCGGAAUUACUGGGCGUAAAGCGUGCGCAGGGCGGUGAUGUAAGACGGAUGUGAAAUCCCCGGGCUCAACCUGGGAACUGCAUUUGUGACUGCAUCGCUGGAGUGCGGCAGAGGGGGAUGGAAUUCCGCGUGUAGCAGUGAAAUGCGUAGAUAUGCGGAGGAACACCGAUGGCGAAGGCAAUCCCCUGGGCCUGCACUGACGCUCAUGCACGAAAGCGUGGGGGAGCAAACAGGAUUAGAUACCCUGGUAGUCCACGCC